GAAAGAUUUUUUUCUUCAGCUUUCUUCCUAUCUUCAGUUAUCUGCCCCUGAGCCUGUAAAAAAGCUAACUGUUCAGUCUGACCUGGAAAUGGACUCUGCAGGAAAAGGGAAAUUAAGGCAGGACCUAGUAACUCUCAACCUUCAUAUGCUGAUCUGACUCCCGCUGGCUCUGUAUCAUCUGGACCUGGCCUUUCACCACAACCUAGAGAAAGACGUAAGAGAACAUCAAGCAAAGGAAAAGGUAAAGGCAAGGGCAAAGGAAAGAAAAGAAAAACAUCUGCUGACAUUGAUGACACAGAGAUUUGAACAUGACAGAGGAAGAUCUUACAAGGGUGGGACCAACAGAAGUGUCCGAUCAAAGUUGCACAUAGGAGCUGGACAGAAAUCCUGAUUAAGAAUUAAUAGCAAGACCAGUGAGUCAGAAACCUUUUAGUAUGCCAUACCUUUCCUUCUGAGCUUCUUUUUGGAUGUUGUUCUGGCAAUUCAGCACCUCCCAAGGCUCCCCCAGUGUUUGAUUUCCUCGAUACAGAGGCCUGUCCUAGAAUAACAGAAUUCAAUGUGUUGCAGUAUCCUAGUUUGUAAAGACAGAGCUCCUCAAAACCAAGCACAGAUGAUAUAAUGUCUUGUCUAGUCUGGUGUGAAAUUAAA